CGACGGGACAUGCAACGCGAGCGGAAUGUAGUCCUUCACUACGGAAUAAUCGCGGGAAACUGGGUUUAAUACCGUAUACGCCCUUCGGGGGAAAGAAUUUCGGUGAAUGAUCAGCCCGCGUUAGAUUAGGUAGUUGGUGGGGUAAUGGCCUACCAAGCCUACGAUCUAGAUCUGGUUUGAGACGAUGAUCAGCAACACUGGGACUGAGACACGGCCCAAACUCCUACGGGAUGCACCAGUGGGGAAUCUUAUCAUAAUGGGGGAAACCCUGAUCUAGCCAUGCCGCGUGAGUGACCAAUGUCUUAAGAUCGUAAAGCUCUUUCAACUGUGAAGAUCAUGACGGUAUCAGUAAAAGAAGCCCCGGGGAACUCCGUGCCAUCAGCCGCGGUAAUACGGACGGGGUUAACGUUGUUCGGAAUUACUGGGCGUAAAGCGCACGUUAGGACGAUUGGAAAGUUGGGGGUGAAAUCCCGGGGCUCAACCUCGGAACUGCCUCCAAAACUAUCAGUCUAGAAUUCGAAGAGAAGUGAGUGGAAUUCCGAAUUGU
rnacentral:rRNA from 1 species